GCCUGCAGUUGUCUAUAUCGACAUGUAAAUCAUACAAAUUACGUACAAUGUCGUCGGACCGCAGAUCUAAAAGAACCGACGAUCCGGUUUAAAUAAACCGGUUCUUCAAUUCUCGGACAAAGUGAUUCCCGGAAAAGAAUCGACGUCUCAGGGCCUCGAUACAUUUUAAAGUGCGCGCACGCACAGCGAAAGAGAACAUGGAAACAUUUGUGAGAGAAAAACUCGUCGAGUGCAGUCUUAUGGAGACGUCUAACGGUUGGAACAAACGUGGAAUUCCUUAACCGAGUCCACAAAACCCCAUCCAUCUGUCAUGGCGAUUUGAAAAUGCCAGCAGAUCUCUCAGGCAUUGAUCAUAAUCAAUGGACAGGUCACCGUAGCCACCAGGAUCCAGUCUGUAUUCAGAUCAGAUGGUCACUGCAGUCACCCGGAUUCAGCCUGUAUCCAGAUCAGAUGGUGGAUCAGCACCUAGAGAUGACCUCUGCAGCCCUGAAUGUCAGCGGAGACCAGGACUACUAGAUGAGCCCCAGAGAUAGAUCCCCAGUAAAGACCUUGUCUCCAAGACAGCGGGAACCAGAUGAGUCCUCUGCACAAUCAAACUCUGCUGCAGCCUGUAAUUGAACUGCUUGUUUCGUCUGGUCAGAGGAGAACUGGCCCCCCGACUGGGCCUGGUUUCUCCCAAGGUUUUUUCUCCAGUUAAACAGCUAAGACACAUUGUCUAUUCAAGUAACUUAAUUUUACUUUAUUUAUUGACUAACUGUUAUUUCUGUGUUAUUUUUUUUUUUGCUAUUUGCUAGGAAACAAAAAAAGAAAAAAAAGAAAGAAAAUUGCAUUGAUUGGUACAAAUUUUGACACAUUUGUGAAUGUCAGAUGGCAUUAAAAAUUAUUUUUUAACA
rnacentral:lncRNA from 1 species